UUUGUUGAGACAUUUCGAAGCAUCCCAGAUUCCUAUAUCUUCGAGCAGUUAUGGACACCAUGUCGGCCGAGCGACGAAAAGUGCUACAAAAGUGCUGGAAUAUUACCUCACCUUGUCUCCCGCAGGCAACAAUGUCUAUAGUUCCAGCUAUAAUUCUACAAGAUAAUUUGAACAGAGCGAUCACUGUAGCUUUGCUUUCUCUCUUUCUAGCUAAGCUGUCACUUAAAACACGAAAGCGAGUGCUACAUUUAAAAACAAAACAUUGAAGCAGUGGUUGAAUGGUUACAACAGCAAAAGCUGUUGCGGCACAAAUUUCAUGCACCAAACCCGUCCUGGAGAACAUGCAGCUGGAACACCAGUGAUUGAAGAAUGAUUAGCGAGGAUGUGAAUAAGAUGAAACGAUUAAUUACGAUAUAUUACGGCUAAACUGAGGAGGAUAAAUAGAAUGCUGUUGCUGCCGCUCUUUCUCCCUCAUUAUAACGUAUGAAAAUCCCGGCCGGUGAUGUUAACGAAUUGAAUGAGGAGGAUGCUUCGAAUGAUGAUGGUAUUACCAGAGUUAAAUGAUCAGCUUAUCGUCUUAUCGUCUUAUGCGUAUAAUAAAAUGAUUAUAAAGAA